UGGGGAAUAUUGCACAAUGGGCGCAAGCCUGAUGCAGCAACGCCGCGUGAACGAUGAAGGUCUUCGGAUCGUAAAGUUCUGUUGCAGGGGAAGAUAAUGACGGUACCCUGUGAGGAAGCCCCGGCUAACUACGUGCCAGCAGCCGCGGUAAUACGUAGGGGGCUAGCGUUAUCCGGAUUUACUGGGCGUAAAGGGUGCGUAGGUGGUCUUUCAAGUCGGUGGUUAAAGGCUACGGCUCAACCGUAGUUAGCCUCCGAAACUGGAAGACUUGAGUGCGGGAGAGGAAAGUGGAAUUCCCAGUGUAGCGGUGAAAUGCGUAGAUAUUGGGAGGAACACCAGUAGCGAAGGCGGCUUUCUGGACUGCAACUGACACUGAGGCACGAAAGCGUGGGUAGCAAACAGG
rnacentral:rRNA from 1 species